rnacentral:rRNA from 1 species
UACGUAGGGUGCGAGCGUUGUCCGGAAUUAUUGGGCGUAAAGAGCUCGUAGGCGGUUUGUUGCGUCGGCCGUGAAAACUUGGGGCUUAACCCCGAGCUUGCGGUCGAUACGGGCAGACUUGAGUUCGGCAGGGGAGACUGGGAUUCCUGGUGUAGCGGUGAAAUGCGCAGAUAUCAGGAGGAACACCGGUGGCGAAGGCGGGUCUCUGGGCCGAUACUGACGCUGAGGAGCGAAAGCGUGGGGAGCGAACAGG